rnacentral:lncRNA from 1 species
CAAAUCUCACUUUCAAGUCAUGGAAAAUUCAAAUGUACUGCAUAGAACAGGUUCGGCUAUGUAUUGUCUUCUCUUGCUUAUAUAGUAAGAAAAUAUUUCAAAAAUCGAAUUCAAAACACUUCUCCUCCUACUUCCUUAAGCUACAUUUUAUAUAUGUAUCCAGUUUUACCAACCCACGUGAGCGCCCAGACAGCUGUUAUUUACUCCUCCUAUGUUGCUUAGAAACCACAUAGGAUAUCGACAUUUCGACCGACGGAAAAAUACUUAUCUGUGCAAAUUUUCAAGUAAUAAAAAAUUGUCUUGGCGAAAAUUUCUGCGUAAUCAUAAUCCCCACUAGACCUUUAAAAAAUAAAAAGUUCGUCAUCCUCUAAACCUAUACUUUGCUAAGCUUUCUGUCGGAAAAGAAGGUCCGAAGUCUGUUUUAAGAAAAAGCUCAAAUCGAGAGGUUUGUCUACAAAGCAUUUACGAGACAAAUUUUCAUACUGCUCCAAAAAUGUCUCGAGGGCGCAAAACGAGCACCGCAAAAACUUCCAGGAACAAACCCGUCAAAAUAAAAGCCUCAAAAAGGUCCAAGCAAAGCACUCGCAGAAGAGAUUCAAAAUCAGCGCAAAAUGUCAGCAAGAUGCAAAGUUUAAAAAAUAAACCCAAACCAAAAGUUGCUCAGAGGAAACCUACUCAAAAUCUGAAACAGCUGUCUCCCAAGAGAGCGCCAAAAUGACCCGUGGUCAGGAAUCUAUGACAACCUCAAAAGCCUUGGUAAAGCCAAAACAACUGUCACAAGGACCCUCGAAAGCAAUUCAAAAACUAUUCGGAAAUAGUAUCGCGCUGCUAACCUCCAAGGCCACGCACAGGUUGUAUCCAUUUUCACAGAAGAUGAACCUAAUGACAGCCCAAAGGAUGCUUGGAGGUGAAAAAGCCUCUCUAACCGCGAGAGCCUUAAGGUCAAAAUCAACGGGAGAGCCGAGGGUAAUACCACCGCUGUCGAACCUCCCUCAAGCUGUUGCCUCCCAGCAGGUAUUCUACCACGCAGUGCUGAAGAGUGUUGCGGGUUGCAGCGAAUCAGGGGCUACUCGUGAAGAGGUAUCCCGCACCGUGAGCUCUAUGUUAGGUGUGUGUCCGGUUGUGAUGGAACCCAUCGUCGGAGCAGCGUUGAGCCACGCUGCGGUAGGUAAAUUGAUCGAGAGCAACCGUGGUAGGUUCGUGCCUAGAUACCCAGAGCAAUUGCGGGCACUCCCUAUUACUGAAAAUGGUAUACCAGUGCCGGGAGAGGUAUGCACUCUGGACGACAUUAUGGAUCGAACGGAUGACUGGUUGCAUAUCUUCAAGGAGUGCGCGUUGCUCACGAGGAACGAGGUGACUUGCUUUUGAAAAUUUUGAUUGGUGAUGCAGUGAUUUGGUUUGAGAUUCAUCAAAUUACCGUCAGAUCAAAGCGUAUACGCCAGAGAAAAAGGAACUUCCAAAAAUUUGGAUGAUGACUGAUCAACGCAAGAUACUACGACAGCUUUAAGGGAGAAAUAGAACUUAAUAUCUUUUCCAUCCUAUUUUAUAAAAAUAUAUUGUUAAUACCUUUCUCUCCCUCUCCCCCUCCCUUCCUCCAUCCACUUUUCUCCGCAGGUUUGGACUGUAAACAUCGGAAUACGGUGAAUAAUGGAAUGAUACAACUAUUCAAGCUUCCGUGUGCUGCGUAGUAUCAUUCCUAAUUGAAGGCGUUUUUCUCUCUUUUCAGUCAGGCGCUCCUUCUGACCUCACUCCCCAUUCCUCCCUCCCCCUUCUUCUCUCCACCCUCUCUCCCUCUAUACAUUCUAUUGCAAAAUAAAACAAGGCACUGAAUGAUUUAGUGCGAGUUGAUGAAUUCAGACGCAAGAAUAAUUAUAAUUCAUUUAAAAAGUACACGCAAAAAGUAACUUAUCGCUGAGCCCUAUAACACUUUAGGUAAUAUAGCGGCAACUACUGACAGGCAGUAGCACUGAACCCCAUUUUAACUGUAGUGUUAGGGCUCAGCGUUUUGUUGUUUUUUCCAUGUACGGUAACAGCCGAUACGUGAAUAUAAUUGAAUAGCAUUUCAUUACUGAAAAUGUCACUUGUGAAUACUUUCCUUCAAGUUUUGACGAUUUGCGUCAGAAACGUUAUUCUUUGUUCGAAGUUUGUCUAUAGGAACUAGCCUUGUAACUGAUUCGUAAUCGGUCAUGAGGGUCAAUAGUUUCGUUUAAUAAGGUUUUAAAUUUUUCCCCCUUUAUUUUUACUUAAAAGCUGAAUUGUAAAAUUUUUCGGAUAAGGCACAUCAAAAAUUGCCGAUAAAUGUCUUACUGUGCCAACAUUUUUAUUCUAUUUUGCAUGUACAAAUUAUGUAUAUCACCGAAGUCACUCAACGUAAAGUUUCAUGAUUAAAAGCUUUCAUCAAUAUCUCGGAAUAAUAUAAAUUAUUCUGCGCG